GACGAACCGUGCGAACGUUGUUCGGAAUCACUGGGCUUAAAGGGCGCGUAGGCGGGCGCGCAAGUCCGGGGUGAAAUCCUCCCGCUCAACGGGAGAACAGCCUUGGAUACUGCGUGCCUGGAGGGAGGUAGGGGCAGCGGGAACUUCGGGUGGAGCGGUGAAAUGCGUAGAGAUCCGAAGGAACGCCGGUGGCGAAAGCGCGCUGCUGGACCUCUUCUGACGCUGAGGCGCGAAAGCCAGGGUAGCGAACGGG
rnacentral:rRNA from 1 species